AGCCACGUGCGCUUAGGACGCUGAACUCUCCAGACGGUCAAAGCCACGGUUCCGCCCCCCGCCCCGGCCGGGACACAUAAUAACGAAUGAAGCGCACCGUGGUCCGGGCCACUGACAGCAGCUGAGAGCCGACGUGUUGUGACAUUGAGGGGUCAGCCCCCGGGUAUCGGUCUGCUCCGUCGGGCAUCAUGGCGGACUCCAGCUUCGACAACCUGACGUCCCUCGCCCGAGCUUUGUCUCACCCGAAGCUGGAGCUGAGCGAGCCGAGCGACGUGUCCCCGACGCGGGGCGCUCAGCUGCAGCCGUGCAGGAGGAGGAAGUUGUCGAGCUGCACGUCGCUCGAGUCCGUGGAGCCGCUGACUUCACCCACCGCCGAGGCGCGGGUGCUGGUCAUCAACACCGGGGGAACCAUCGGCAUGACGAUUCACGACAACGUGCUCGCACCAACAGCCAAUGCGUUGGUGAAGAGCCUGCGCAAGCUGCCCAUUCUCCACGAUGCGAUGUACGCCCAGCAGACCGGCCUGUAUGACUACUACUCGUAUGAGAACACCCUGGUCCUGCCGAAGUCGACGUCCCACGCUGGCCAGCCGUUUAAUGGAUUGAGUAAAGACAAAAAGAGGAUUGUCUACUCUAUCUUAGAGUACAGCCCUUUGCUGGACUCCUCCAAUAUGACCACAGAUGACUGGGGUAGGAUUGGAAAGGACAUUGAGAAAAACUAUGAAAACUAUGACGGGUUUGUGAUCCUUCAUGGCACAGACACGAUGGCUUACACAGCCUCUGCCCUGUCCUUCAUGUGUGAACAUCUGGGCAAACCAAUCGUUCUCACUGGCUCCCAGGUGCCAAUCUUUGAGAUGAGGAAUGACGGCAGAGGCAACCUGCUGGGGGCGCUGCUGAUCGCUGGACAGUUUGUCAUCCCCGAGGUGUGCCUUUACUUCUACAACAAACUCCACCGAGGGAACCGCGUGACCAAGGUGGAUGCCGGGAGUUUCAAUGCAUUCUCCUCUCCCAACUUGGCUCCACUGGCCACGGCUGAAGUGGACAUUAAAAUCAACUGGGAUACGGUUUGGAGGCCAAACACAACAGCAAAGUUCCAAGUCAGCACUGAGCUGAACCGGAACGUGGGCCUGCUCAGGUUAUUCCCAGGAAUAACCUCCGCUACUGUUAAGGCUUUCCUGCAGCCGCCCAUGAUGGGCGUAGUGCUCGAGACCUACGGCAGUGGAAAUGCCCCCGAUAACCGUCCUGACCUGCUGCAGGAGCUGAAGAAGGCGACUGACUCCGGCGUCAUCAUCAUCAACUGCACCCAGUGUCUGAGGGGCACUGUGUCGACGUCGUACGCCACCGGCAUGGUGUUGAUGGACGCAGGGCUGAUCGCUGGUGGUGACAUGACUCCAGAGGCUGCCCUGUCGAAGCUGUCCUACGUGUUGGCCAAGGACAAGCUUGAUCUAGAUGCCAAGAAAAAGUUGAUGGGUCGGAACCUGCGAGGUGAAAUGAGCGUCGACUUAGCGGGAGCCAAGCUGUGUCUCAGCGACAGCCGCUUCAUCCAAGUCAUCGCCAAGUCUCUGAGCGUCAGCUGCAAGGAGGAGCUGGAAGCCAUUCGUGAUGCUCUGACUCCUCCACUGGCUUGUGCUGCUGCUAAGAUCGGAGACAUAGAAGCUUUACAAGCACUAAAAGAAAUGGGCACUAACCUGUGUCUAGGUGACUACGAUGGACGUACACCCCUACACAUCGCCGCCUGCGAGGGCCACCUUAAGCUGGUGGAGUACCUACUGGGUCAUGGAGCUACAGUCUAUGCUAAAGAUCGCUACGGGGACACGCCCCUGUGCAACGCUGUACGCUUCAGGCACAAAGAAGUGGUGAAGCUGCUGCGACAGACUGGAGCCCACUUCUCCAGAGAAAAGUUGGAGGAAGCAGGGACCGAACUGUGCAGGAAUGCUCCCAGGCAGCAUAGCUUUGGAUCUGCUCUGCAUCUCCGGUGUCGGCAAGUAGUUAUUUAUCUACCCGAGACACUAGCCUGGCAGCCACCAGGGACCUGGAGGGCCUGGAGAUCUGGAGCCUUGCCGGGGCCGACCUGAGAAAACAAGGCUAUGACGGACAGACAGCGAUUCAAGUGGCCCAGGCUGUUGGCAACAAGGAAGUGGUGGCGUUUUUAGUCCAGCUCAUGAGCAAUAAAUCCAAGAGCGGUGGAGUGAUCGAGUUCACCGCCACACCAUCAGGACCGUGACGAUGCCGACAGGAACCGUCCUCCGUUUGUGUCCACUUCCUACCGAGCCGUCCCCUACACACACACACACACACACACACACACACACACACACACACACACACACACACACACACACACACACACACACACACACACACACACACACACACACACACACACACACACUCACACCGUCCACUGUCCAGCUGAAAGUCACAGAGUUAAACUCACUAUUGAAUGUCUUCUUAUUUUGACACGUCAUUGAAAGCCAGCACUGCUCUGAAUUUUCCCUGUUAAAAACACACCAACAUGUGCAAAAUGUCCAGGAAAGAGCAACAAUAAGUGUGUGUUUGUGUGUGUACUGUAUGUACAUACAUAGGAAAUGUAUUAUCAUGUUUUAAUCAGAUGCUGACAUCACUGUGUCUGAACAAAAGCCUUGGUUAUUGUGAAGUCCAGUCAGGGAAUUAUUAGCCUCACCUUGGGAGCCUGCCGAAACUUCCCAUUACACCUCGAACAGUGAAUGAUGACAAUGAAGAUUAUUUUUUUCCUGCAAAACAUUUGACUUUGAAUCGAGUACAUAAAGAAAUGUACUCGAUCAUAAGCAAUAUAUUCAUGACACGUGGAAGCACAGGGUACAUUCACAGAUUGUAUUUUUCUGUUUAUUUAUUUAUAGUGAGACGCUGUAAAGUAUCAUGUAAACUGAGGAAAAGGAGCUUUGUCCUUCUUGUCAUCGGGAAUGUGAACGAACUGUGGCACUUGUCCUCUGCCCCUGAAACUGCGAUUUUCACUUCCUACUGCUCAAACAGGUAUAACAAAAACCUGCAGUUCCCUUUACAGACUCAUCCAGCCUGUUUCACGUGGCGGAUUGUCGAGCUGGAAGAGUCACAUCUCAAAUGUUAAGUCUUUGAGAAAGGAAUAAAAAUGGAAACCUGCCACAGUUUUGUCUUCCAUAUUCGUGUGUUCACAAACAAAUGACAUGAGCUUUCCUUCCUUGUUAAAUUGUGUUAUAUAGUGCUACUCUACAAUUUGAUAGACUCUCUUUAAACCAAUCCAGGUUACCUUUGAUGUGACUUCCUUACAUGUGCAAAUACAUGUUAAUUACUUGAAAUGUGUCCUGUUGGUUUCAGUGCUCAUAAACAACAUGUGGGAGAACUGUGUGAUUCGGUUGUUUUGUGGAAAAUGCGACAGAAAUAAAACUCUUGUGUCAGA